UUGAGGAAACAAUGAAAAAGUUGCUGCCUAAUACACAGGAAGAAGACUUUAUCAAAAGUCAUCAGCAGGCAGAAGAGAAAGGAAAGGUGGAGGCAGAUAAAACUCAAAAUGAAGCAGAGGAUGAUGAGGAGGAGGAG
rnacentral:sRNA from 1 species